GGGUAUAUAGCUCAAGUGGUAGAGCGCAUGCUUAGCAUGCAUGAGGUUCUGGGUUCAAUUCCUAGUACCUCCU
rnacentral:tRNA from 1 species